rnacentral:rRNA from 1 species
AGUCAAGUAAUUAAGUGCAUGUGGUGGAUGCCUUGGCAGUCAGAGGCGAUGAAAGACGUGAUAGCCUGCGAAAAGCUCCGGGGAGGCGGCAAAUAUCCUUUGAUCCGGAGAUGUCUGAAUGGGGGAACCCACCUACUUUAAGGUAGGUAUUGCAACAUGAAUACAUAGUGUUGCAAGGCGAACGAGGGGAAGUGAAACAUCUCAGUACCCUUAGGAAAAGAAAUCAAUUGAGAUUCCCUCAGUAGCGGCGAGCGAACGGGGAUCAGCCCAUUAAGUUAUGUGUGUUUUAGUGGAACGCUCUGGGAAGUGCGAACGUAGAGGGUGAUAUUCCCGUACACGAAAGGGCACACAUAAUGAUGACGAGUAGGGCGAGGCACGUGAAACCUUGUCUGAAUAUGGGGGGACCAUCCUCCAAGGCUAAAUACUCCUGACUGACCGAUAGUGAACCAGUACCGUGAGGGAAAGGCGAAAAGAACCCCUGUGAGGGGAGUGAAAUAGAUCCUGAAACCGCAUGCAUACAAGCAGUGGGAGCACCUUCGUGGUGUGACUGCGUACCUUUUGUAUAAUGGGUCAGCGACUUAUAUUCAGUAGCGAGGUUAACCGUAUAGGGGAGCCGUAGAGAAAUCGAGUCUUAAUAGGGCGUUUAGUUGCUGGGUAUAGACCCGAAACCAGGCGAUCUAUCCAUGAGCAGGUUGAAGGUUGGGUAACACUAACUGGAGGACCGAACCCACUGUCGUUGAAAAGCCAGGGGAUGACUUGUGGAUAGGGGUGAAAGGCUAAUCAAGCCUGGUGAUAGCUGGUUCUCCCCGAAAGCUAUUUAGGUAGCGCCUCGGACGAAUACCAUAGGGGGUAGAGCACUGUUUCGGCUAGGGGGUCAUCCCGACUUACCAAACCGAUGCAAACUCCGAAUACCUAUGAGUACUAUCCGGGAGACAGACUGCGGGUGCUAACGUCCGUAGUCAAGAGGAAAACAAUCCAGACCGCCAGCUAAGGCCCCAAAAUCAUAGUUAAGUGGGAAACGAUGUGGGAAGGCAUAGACAGCUAGGAGGUUGGCUUAGAAGCAGCCACCCUUUAAAGAAAGCGUAAUAGCUCACUAGUCGAGUCGGCCUGCGCGGAAGAUGUAACGGGGCUAAAACUAUGUGCCGAAGCUGCGGAUGUAUAUUUUGUAUACGUGGUAGGGGAGCGUUCUGUAAGCCGAUGAAGGUGUGUUGAGAAGCAUGCUGGAGGUAUCAGAAGUGCGAAUGCUGACGUGAGUAACGACAAAACGGGUGAAAAACCCGUUCGCCGAAAGACCAAGGGUUCCAGUCCAACGUUAAUCGGGGCUGGGUGAGUCGACCCCUAAGGCGAGGCCGAAAGGCGUAGUCGAUGGGAAAAUGGUUAAUAUUCCAUUACUUCUGUGUAAUGCGAUGAGAGGACGGAGAAGGCUAAAUCAGCCUGGCGUUGGUUGUCCAGGUGAAAGGAUGUAGGCAUGUAUCUUAGGCAAAUCCGGGGUACUCUAUGCUGAGAUCUGAUAGCAAGCUGUACUUGUACAGCGAAGUGGUUGAUGCCAUGCUUCCAGGAAAAGUCUCUAAGCUUCAGUUACACAGGAAUCGUACCCGAAACCGACACAGGUGGUCAGGUCGAGUAGACCAAGGCGCUUGAGAGAACUCUGCUGAAGGAACUAGGCAAAAUGGUACCGUAACUUCGGGAGAAGGUACGCUGUUGUUGGUGAUGGAACUCGCUUCCUGAGCUGACGACAGCCGCAGAAACCAGGCCGCUGCAACUGUUUAUUAAAAACAUAGCACUCUGCAAACACGAAAGUGGACGUAUAGGGUGUGAUGCCUGCCCGGUGCUGGAAGGUUAAUUGAUGGGGUUAGCGUAAGCGAAGCUCUUGAUCGAAGCCCCAGUAAACGGCGGCCGUAACUAUAACGGUCCUAAGGUAGCGAAAUUCCUUGUCGGGUAAGUUCCGACCUGCACGAAUGGCAUAAUGAUGGCGGCGCUGUCUCCAGCAGAGGCUCAGUGAAAUCGAAAUCGCUGUGAAGAUGCAGUGUACCCGCGGCUAGACGGAAAGACCCCGUGAACCUUUACUGCAGCUUGACACUGAACUUUGACCUUACUUGUGUAGGAUAGGUGGGAGGCUUUGAAGCUGGAACGCUAGUUCCAGUGGAGCCGUCCUUGAAAUACCACCCUGGUAAUGUUGAGGUUCUAACUCUGUCCCGUGAUCCGGGACGAGGACCGUGUCUGGUGGGUAGUUUGACUGGGGCGGUCUCCUCCUAAAGAGUAACGGAGGAGUACGAAGGUGCGCUCAGCGUGGUCGGAAAUCACGCGUAGAGUAUAAAGGCAAAAGCGCGCUUAACUGCGAGACCCACAAGUCGAGCAGGUACGAAAGUAGGUCUUAGUGAUCCGGUGGUUCUGUAUGGAAGGGCCAUCGCUCAACGGAUAAAAGGUACUCUGGGGAUAACAGGCUGAUACCGCCCAAGAGUUCAUAUCGACGGCGGUGUUUGGCACCUCGAUGUCGGCUCAUCUCAUCCUGGGGCUGAAGCAGGUCCCAAGGGUAUGGCUGUUCGCCAUUUAAAGAGGUACGCGAGCUGGGUUUAGAACGUCGUGAGACAGUUCGGUCCCUAUCUACCGUGGGCGCUGGAAAUUUGAGAGGAUCUGCUCCUAGUACGAGAGGACCAGAGUGGACGAACCUCUGGUGUACCGGUUGUGACGCCAGUCGCAUCGCCGGGUAGCUAUGUUCGGAAGGGAUAACCGCUGAAAGCAUCUAAGCGGGAAGCCUACCUCAAGAUAAGAUUUCCCUAGGACUUUAUGUCCUCUAAAGAGCCGUUCGAGACUAGGACGUUGAUAGGUUGGAUGUGGAAGCAUAGUGAUAUGUGAAGCUGACCAAUACUAAUUGCUCGUGAGGCUUGACUAU